rfam:Magnaporthe oryzae 70-15 chromosome 1, whole genome shotgun sequence.
GGGUCGGUAGCUCAGUGGUAGAGCGAGAGAUUGCAGCGCACCCGCAAUUAUCUCUAGGUCUCGUGUUCGAUCCACGAUCGGCCCU